rnacentral:tRNA from 1 species
GGGCUGGUAGCUCAGUUAGGGAGAGCGUCCGGCUUUUAGCCCGUUCGGACGGCGUGUGCGUUCGGGGAAGUCACCGGACGGUCGGGGGUUCGAAUCCCUCCCAGCCCG